GUUCCUCGUGUGACGAGUGGGAGAGGGGUGAGUAGUGUGGGGGUCUCUGCCAUAUAGAGGGAGAUAACCUGUGGAAACGGGGGCUAAUACCGUAUAACCUCACAAGACCAAAGAGGGAGAUUUUCGGCCCUCUCUCUAUCAGAUGAACCCAUGUGGGAUUAUCUAAUGCGGGGUGUAACGGCCCCCCUACGACAAUAUCCCUAUGUGGUCAGAGAAGAAGACCACCCACUGUGGCUCUGACACACGCCCCACACUCCUACGGGGGGCAACUGUGGAAAAUAGUGCACAGUGGGCGCACGCGUGAUGCCCCCGUGCCGCGUGUAAGAAAAGGGUCUUCGGUUUGUAAAAUAUUUUCCGCGGAGAAGAGGGAUAUGUGUUUAAUAACCGCCUUGUGUGAUUUUCCCCGCAAAAAACGCCCCGGAUAACUCCGUGCCCACCCCCGCGGUAAUACAGAGGGUGCACGCUUUACUCAGAAUUAGUGGGCAUAACGCACACAGGGGCGCUGUGUUAACUGAGAUGUGAACUCCGGGGGUUUAAUGUGGACACUGUUUUUGAAAGUGGCGCGUUUGACUCUCAGAGAGGGGGGUAGAACUACGUGUGUAGCGGAGAUGUGCGUAGAUAUCUGGAGGAACAGGUGUCGA
rnacentral:rRNA from 1 species